UAGGGAAUAUUGGACAAUGGGGGCAACCCUGAUCCAGCCAUGCCGCGUGAGUGAAGAAGGCCCUCGGGUUGUAAAGCUCUUUUGUCCGGAAAGAAAAGCAUUCGGUGAAUACCCGGAUGUUCUGACGGUACCGGAAGAAUAAGCACCGGCUAACUUCGUGCCAGCAGCCGCGGUAAUACGAAGGGUGCAAGCGUUACUCGGAAUUACUGGGCGUAAAGCGUGCGUAGGUGGUUGUUUAAGUCUGUUGUGAAAGCCCUGGGCUCAACCUGGGAAUGGCAUUGGAAACUGGGCAGCUAGAGUGCGGUAGAGGGUAGUGGAAUUCCCGGUGUAGCAGUGAAAUGCGUAGAGAUCGGGAGGAACAUCUGUGGCGAAGGCGACUGCCUGGACCAGCACUGACACUGAGGCACGAAAGCGUGGGGAGCAAACA
rnacentral:rRNA from 1 species